GAUGAACGCUGGCGGCGUGCUUAACACAUGCAAGUCGAACGGAAAGGCCGAAGCUUGCUUCGGUACUCGAGUGGCGAACGGGUGAGUAACACGUGGGUGAUCUGCCCUGUACUUCGGGAUAAGCUUGGGAAACUGGGUCUAAUACCGGAUAUGACGAUCUCUUGGAUGGGGUUGUGGAAAGCUUUUGCGGUAUGGGAUGAGCUCGCGGCCUAUCAGCUUGUUGGUGGGGUAAUGGCCUACCAAGGCGUCGACGGGUAGCCGGCCUGAGAGGGUGUACGGCCACAUUGGGACUGAGAUACGGCCCAGGCUCCUACGGGAGGCAGCAGUGGGGAAUAUUGCACAAUGGGCGCAAGCCUGAUGCAGCGACGCCGCGUGGGGGAUGACGGCCUUCGGGUUGUAAACUCCUUUCGCAAUCGACGAAGCCUUUUGGUGACGGUAGGUUGAGAAGAAGCACCGGCUAACUACGUG
rnacentral:rRNA from 1 species